rnacentral:lncRNA from 13 species
UGGCUGUGUGCUUGUUAUAGGCUUACACGUGUAGCUAUUUUAUUCAAAUUCAAAAUGCGGCACUUUGUUCUGGACCUUUAUGUUUAAAAUAGAAAUGUCUAACCGAGCCAAGAGGUGUGGUUUACUUAGUAACUGGUUUCACAUUAGCGUCGUUGUGCUGUAAUCUGAUACUUCUCUUUCUGAAGAAAAAGAGCGCACUGGAGACAAAGGGGAUAUGGGGCUUUAACGGGGUUUUAUGCUUCUAGAUAGGCGAAAUGAGGGACAACAUGCUUCGAAUACAAAUACAUUAGUCAAAAUCAAAACAAAAAAAUCAAGGGGCAACAGUAGGCUUUUCAUGAAGAAAAUAUGUUGUUGAACUUAAGCAAUGCUUGCAGUCACACAAAGGGACGGUAUUCAUCAAAGCCACUUGAAGCACUUGGCAUAGGCUAUGUCUUACACGAAACGCCAUUAAAAUGUCAACAUGUAAUUAAUGAGAGAGAAUAACAAUGUUUCUAACACUAAGAUAAAUGACAUAUAAAUCGACAUCAUGUAAAAACUUUCUUCACGCUGGUAACUUCACAGCGGAGUACACCCUUUAAAUAUUUGACCAUUAGGAGAAAGAAAACUGGGAGGAGCUUGAUAGGCGGGACACAUUCCAAAGAGUGACAACAAUCUGUCCAAUUAAAACCGCUAAAACAUGUUGCUUAAAUUUGGAUUGCCCAAUCACGUUUUCAAUCGACCAGCUCCAUUCUAACUAAUGGAUUACAGUCGAGCCUAACAAACAGAUGUAACUGGUUUUCAUCAUUCUCUUCUCUUCUUCUCAGCCUCUCACAGAAAUCACUGCCAGAAACAUCGAGGCAUCAAACACAGUAUUUAUUUCGGAAACAUAUCAUACCCUUAGAUUCAACUAAAUAUGGCUGAUACCGCAGUAGACACUACCACAACUACCGAGAUUUCAGCAAAGGAGCUCAAAGAGAAGAAAGAGGUUGUCGAGGAGGUGGAGGAGAAGGAGAAUGGCAGCGGGGACGCACCAGCCAACGGCAAUGGAACACACACAAAUGGUGCAGAGACAAAGACAAAUGGUGCAGACGAUUCUGAAGAAACCCCUGUGUGUGAGAAGGAAGAAGAGGAUGGAGAGGGACUGGAUGCAGCCAAGGAUGCAGAAGAAGUUGCUGGUGAGGAGGUUGACCACCCGGUGAAGCGCCCAGCUGAUGAGGAGGACCAAUUGGAAACAAAAAAACAGAAAACAGAAAACGGUGAAUCAAAGGAAGCUGAAGUGAAGGCAUAGUGUGCAGA